UACGGGGGGAGCAAGCGUUGUUCGGAUUUACUGGGCGUAAAGGGCGCGUAGGCGGCCACCGCAAGUCGGUUGUGAAAUCUCUGGGCUUAACCCAGAAAGGUCAACCGAUACUGCGGGGCUAGAGUGCAGAAGGGGCAACUGGAAUUCUCGGUGUAGCGGUGAAAUGCGUAGAUAUCGAGAGGAACACCUGCGGCGAAGGCGGGUUGCUGGGCUGUUCUUGACGCUGAGGCGCGAAAGCUAGGGUAGCAAACGGG
rnacentral:rRNA from 1 species